UACGUAGGGUGCGAGCGUUGUCCGGAAUUAUUGGGCGUAAAGAGCUUGUAGGCGGUUUGUCGCGUCUGCCGUGAAAAUUCGAGGCUCAACCUCGAACUUGCGGUGGGUACGGGCAGACUAGAGUGUGGUGGGGGAGACUGGAAUUCCUGGUGUAGCGGUGAAAUGCGCAGAUAUCAGGAGGAACACCGAUGGCGAAGGCAGGUCUCUGGGCCACUACUGACGCUGAGAAGCGAAAGCGUGGGGAGCAAACAGG
rnacentral:rRNA from 1 species